CAGGCGCUACAUUUCUAGAAACGGGAGUUUUCCUCUCUGCCUCUCCAGCCUGAAGGGAGGAGCAUCCAGAUCUCUGCCUCCACCAGAAAUCCUCUUACAGGAUCUGCUCCUUCCAGCUUCAGCAGGAGUCCACACUGUGUGGUAGGUGUUCACUGGGCAGCCCCAGGAGUCCACACUGUGAGGUAGGUGUUCACUGGGCUGCCCCA
rnacentral:lncRNA from 1 species